rnacentral:rRNA from 1 species
AUUGAACGCUGGCGGCAUGCUUUACACAUGCAAGUCGAACGGUAACAGGCCUUCGGGUGCUGACGAGUGGCGAACGGGUGAGUAAUGCAUCGGAACGUACCCAGAGGUGGGGGAUAACGCAGCGAAAGCUGUGCUAAUACCGCAUGUGAUCUGAGGAUGAAAGCGGGGGACCGAGCAGCAAUGUUUGGCCUCGCGCCUUUGGAGCGGCCGAUGUCGGAUUAGCUAGUUGGUGGGGUAAAGGCCUACCAAGGCGACGAUCCGUAGCUGGUCUGAGAGGACGACCAGCCACACUGGGACUGAGACACGGCCCAGACUCCUACGGGAGGCAGCAAUGGGGAAUUUUGGACAAUGGGCGCAAGCCUGAUCCAGCAAUGCCGCGUGCGGGAAGAAGGCCUUCGGGUUGUAAACCGCUUUUGGCAGGAACGAAACGGUGUCCGCUAAUACCGGGCGCUAAUGACGGUACCUGCAGAAUAAGCACCGGCUAACUACGU